rnacentral:lncRNA from 1 species
CAGGCUGCAGCCGCCUGAGGGGACUCGUCCGGGGCCCCGCCCUCAGAGCUCACACCCGCCGUGCGCUCUCGCCCCGGGGCCGCCCCGCCGACCUCCCGCGCGGCUCUGCGCGCACAGGCCGGACGCUCGGAGCCGGCGCCGGGCCGCCCUGCUCGGCCUCCUGGGCGCAGCGGCGCCUCUGGACCGAGCACGCGCACCAGCGGCCUCCGCUCAGGCUCCGUGCCCGCGCACGCGCCCUCGCGUCGCGCUCCUGGCUGAGAGACCUGCGCUCGGGCUGGGCUCCGGGCGGUUCUCGCGUUGUCGUUCCACCGGGACUUCCGCGCUUCGGUGGCCUUUCGGACGAGCCGCCGCGCCCAGAGAUGUUCAGGUUGGAGCGACACUUCCCAGACGGCAGCGGUCACGCCAGCUCUUUGGCUUCCAUUCCGUUUUCGCGCGGUUCUCCCUCUUCGCAAGCUCUAGAUUCCCUUUGUUCUUUCCCAGUAGAGGAAUCCCAAGGAGGACUGAUCAGUUUUGGCAGGUGCAAAACCAUGGAGUGAAAUCAUAGAGUAUUCCUUUCUCUGUCUUACUUGUUUGGCUCAGGAUCCAUCCAUGUUGUCUCAAAUGGGAUGAGUUUGUCUGUUUUUAUGGCUGAAAAAUGGUGUAGGCCCAUGCUUU